GGGCUUGUACUGGUUUCGACGGGGGUUUUGAAGUUGGAGAAGCCAUCCGCGGGACGGGACCGCGCAGUAAACCGUAAUCUAAAAAUAAACGCAGACAAUAAUAAAUUAGCGUACGCUGCCUAAUUUCGGCAGCAGUCGGCCUUAGGCUUCCCGCAGCUUAAGCAACCGGCUUCGACUUUUGCGGGGCACUUCACUCCCAAAGCUUUGAGGGAAUGGAAGAUCUUAUGAAGCUACCAAAGAAAUCAGCCUGUCAUUAGGCGGGUUUUCGAGGGAAACUUAAAAUAAUGACUGUGAUGGGAGAUGCUUCGAUGGAGAGGCUUUCGGACGCGGGUUCGAUUCCCGCCAGGUCCAUCU
rnacentral:tmRNA from 1 species